rnacentral:ncRNA from 1 species
UACGGGGAGCUCAAGCUCGUAAGAGUGACGGCUGAGAGGGCUUUUAGGCCGACCCGAUGAACCUGACGGAUAAUGCCGGCGUAGGGAGAAUGU